rnacentral:rRNA from 1 species
GAUGAACGCUGGCGGCGUGCCUAAUACAUGCGAGUCGAGCGAACGGACGAGAAGCUUGCUUUUCUGAUGUUAGCGGCGGGCGGGUGAGUAACACGUGGAUAACCUACCUAUAAGACUGGGAUAACUUCGGGAAACCGGAGCUAAUACCGGAUAAUAUUUUGAACCGCAUGGUUCAAAAGUGAAAGACGGUCUUGCUGUCACUUAUAGAUGGAUCCGCGCUGCAUUAGCUAGUUGGUAAGGUAACGGCUUACCAAGGCAACGAUGCAUAGCCGACCUGAGAGGGUGAUCGGCCACACUGGAACUGAGACACGGUCCAGACUCCUACGGGAGGCAGCAGUAGGGAAUCUUCCGCAAUGGGCGAAAGCCUGACGGAGCAACGCCGCGUGAGUGAUGAAGGUCUUCGGAUCGUAAAACUCUGUUAUUAGGGAAGAACAUAUGUGUAAGUAACUGUGCACGUCUUGACGGUACCUAAUCAGAAAGCCACGGCUAACUACGUG